UACGGAGGGUGCAAGCGUUAUCCGGAUUCACUGGGUUUAAAGGGUGUGUAGGCGGGUACUUAAGUCAGUGGUGAAAUCUCCAGGCUCAACCUGGAAACUGCCAUUGAUACUAUAUAUCUUGAAUUUUGUUGAGGUAGGCGGAAUAUGUCAUGUAGCGGUGAAAUGCAUAGAUAUGACAUAGAACACCAAUUGCGAAGGCAGCUUACUAAGCAAAUAUUGACGCUGAGGCACGAAAGCGUGGGGAUCAAACAGG
rnacentral:rRNA from 1 species